CGUCUUAUUUUUUGCUAUAAACAACUCAAAUAAUCAACAAUUCUUUGAUAUCACAACCAUGACGUCGUUAAAACAAGCCGUAUUACAUUCAUUAUUACAGAAGGAAAGUUUGUGCUGCUUGUGUUUCGCCGCACUUGGAUCUGAUCAUGUUUAUUUAGACGAUGAGGCGAUGGUGAACGAUUCUGGCAAUGUAAAGCUUGCUGAAGCGCUGAAUUAUAUCCUAGGAUGUGAUGUGAUGAAUAACUUAGCUUUCCAAACCGUAUGCGAUGAUUGUGUCGUAUCAACCAUACAAAGCUACAUGUUUAUCAAAAGAUGCAAAGGAAACACUGAAAACUUACAACAAGCCAUCGAAAAUCUAGAUAUUUCUUUACAAAACUCAACAAGCAAUCGAGAAUCAUGCAAGACAAUAUUUCUUUCUUUAGACUCGAGUCUUGACGCUCAAGUUUACUACGAUUAUAAAAACCCUGUUAGUUCACUUCCAAAAGCCUUGGCAAGAUUUAAAUAUGUCUCAUCUGAUGUAUGCAACGGUAAAUAUUACAUAGAGAGAUCUG